GUCUACGGCCAUACCACCCUGAACACGCCCGAUCUCGUCUGAUCUCAGAAGCUAAGCAGGGUCGGGCCUGGUUAGUACUUGGAUGGGAGAAGACAAGCAGCCAGGACA
rnacentral:rRNA from 1 species